GAAAAAAGUCGGUUGUGGUGUGCCGGAACCGAUGUCGUGAUAGGCCUGUAAUAAAAGAGGGCAAAAAUAGAUGCCUGCCAGAAACUUAAACAAUCAACAAAACCUUAAUUGCCUAGCUGUAUGGUAAAUGCCGAGCGAGUAGUUAGGUGCCUGGCACUUUAACCGGCACUCUAAAUUGUGAAAGGGGGGAAGUAAAGUCUGUUAAACGUGUUGGCCAACUAGGGAAAACUAAGUGUGGGGUAGAGAGGGUAACCAAUAGAUUGCAUGAAUAGGUGAGACUUCCUGAGACAAUGCUGCAAUAUGAUGAGGGGGCUGUGGGAAAUAUGUGGGACCCCAAGAAACUGUGAAAGCAGGUAUAGUGGCUCGACGACUACAUUGCAUAGUUACUUAGCCAAAAAGAGAC